AAUAAGAAAAGAGCUACAGAAUUAAAAUAAUUUUUGAACCUAUGAUAUUUUCUUAAAUAAUAUAAUUUCAUUGCAUAAAAUAAUAAAUGUUUAAUUCUCGAAAUUGUUCCUCUUCCAGCAAACUGACGAUAUAUAGCAGGUAGUUUUGACCCGCUUUCAUAUCGCUUCAUCCGAUAUCCGAGACUUAAAAGCAAUAGCUCGCAUUGUGUCCGCAUAUUUGCACUGGUAUGCAAUUUAUGUGGGCAUAAGAAUCAAUGUAUUUUAUUUUUUGGAUUUACUUCAGAUCUAACAAAAACACACAUGGCGGAACUUCGUUACAUCAGAAAGUGUAACUUGUACACUGUACAAGUUGUAACUAGUACAACUUGAAAAAUAAUUGAUAAUUAUCUUGAUUUAAAUAAUUUACGAGAAUCUGAUUGCUCUUAACGAGAUCGUCGAAUAACGCAAUUUUCUAUAAUUAAAAAAUUGAGUUGAUUUAGACAAAAGGCAGAUGCGAAAUAAGUGAGGAGGAAACUUUCAGAAACGUUGAAAUGCGCAUGACACGUAAGAUUUACGCAGGUAUAUGGGUUACCUUAUACGACAUAGAGGCAUGCAUAAAGCGUCAAAAAACGUGGAAAACGUAACUAUAAAAUGCAAAUAAAAGGAAAACCCCCAAGCGUGAUUAAGUACAUUUAUGAAAUUUCUACAUGAUCUCUUUCUAAUUAAUUUCAAAUGCUAAUCAAACUAUUAUUAUGUACUGUAGUCAUUUAUACAUACAUUACAUAUUUUACAGUUUAGGAAGUAUACGAAAAAUAUAGGUGUUCAUCUUAAACUAAAUUAGCCUAUGCAAACUUGAUAUUUUAAACGUUCGACAAAUAUGUAUACUUACAUGUCGCUUCAAAUAUUGAAUGGAUCUUAUUGUAUUAAUAACUAAAAUGGCAAACUCUUACCGAAUUCCUACGAAUUAACAAUAUUGGUAUUUGCGCAAUUAUACAUCAAAUCCAAGAAUUUAAAAAAGAAGAAAAAUUCUCCUUUACAAAAAUUUGUCUAUAUCCCACCAAAAAAUAAAUUGUUUAAUCGCUUUAUUACGCGUCCAACAUUGAGCGUAUUGCAAAUUCUUUAGGAACAUAACUGUUCAUUUCACGUAAAUUAACUUUUUGUAUCGUCGAAUAUUGGCGACUGUCAUGGCAGUCGACAUGUUUGAACUUCACGGUGCGUAAUUGAUUUUUCUAAACGCUCUUAAGAGUCUUCAAUUUCAAACGAAAAUUUUAUGUUAAUAGAUAACGCACAUAACAUCAGCAGUCCUAUAGAGAAGGGGAAUGAAUUUUAACGACACGUAAAUUACAUUAGAAUUACAAGCGGAAGAAAGGUAUAGCUAAACUAAACUUUGAACUUGGAGCUAAAGUCGUAUGUCGGAAGGUAAAGGUUAAUCUGGAGAUACAAUUGAUUCGCAUAAAUCAGAAAAUGGAAAAAUUAAAGCAAUGAAACUUCAACUACAUCUCCAAUCAACGCUCAAAAUAUAUAUACGUACAUGUAUUAAAUAAGCUUAUCACACCAUGUCCAGUAACAAUGAACGUGCAUGCGUGAACGUUGAACAAAUGCACAACGGAGUAUACUAUAUGGUGUAAUAAAUGUGUAGGCAACGAACGUCACACGCGAAUGACGAGAAGCACGAGAUGCUGCGUGCGAGAGAAUCACGAGGCUUCGUUCGCUUCCUCGUCCGCGUAUUACGUGACUCAGUUGUUGACUAGACAUUAAUUUGAAAAGUGAAAAGCGUUAUUACGUGGUCGAUCUAAUUAUGCGUUCUUUAAAGAAAAAUAUUUUAACAGACACGUUAUCAAAUCUAUUAAAUAGUUCAACUGUGCAUAUAAAUACUACACGCUUAAAUGACCCCGAGUUUUGAUUAACGACGUCCCCACUACUUUUUAGAACUGUACGUUCCAAGCAAUCUUGGAACUGUAUAAGUACGUUGAUGAUGCAACCUUACAAUUAAAUUGUUGAGAUGCGUACCAUCGAAACAAUACCAUAAGCAACAAUCAAUGUUAAUUGCGCGGUAAUUAAUUUCUAAUUCUUAAACAUUGUCGACUCUCUGAAUAUGAAUUCCAUAUGGCAGAACGUAAAACUCGAUGUUAUGAAGGUAGGACGUUGUUAUGUCUCAUUCACGAUCACGUAUUCGCAGUAGAGUGAGCCAAAGUAAGAUAACACCGGGGAUUGUAAGCGAAGAAUGGUGUACACAUAGCAUGUAGCAUAUGCGUACGCAUAUAGCAUAUCGUACAAAUCUCGUAUUCAAACAUAAAGUAAUUAAGUAAGAUUUAUUAUAACUUUAUGUAAAAUAUCGGAUGUUUAUAAUUAAAGUGGCACUCCAUUUACAUGAACGAUAUCGUAGAUUUUAAUUCACUACAUUUUAGCUGAUUUCCUAUUAUCUAAAUUAUUGCCAGGCGUCAAUCCACUUAUAUGAGCGUCUAACAUUGAAAUGUAAACAGUAGAAACAGGUGUUACGUGAAAUACUUUCAUGCUUUACAACUGAUAUAAUUUUAAUUACAACAUUGUUAUAUAUUCAAGAGCAAAUGUUCGGUGGAAUUCUCUUAUACGAACGAACUUCUAUUAACAGAACGAAAAAUCACAGAUGGUAGGGAGAAAUACGUGGCACUCCUAUCAUAUCAACGACUUAGUUAUAUGAAUCAACUUGUCCCCCGGCAAGUUCAAGUUUAUAUAUCGUUAUAUGAUCGACGUAUAGUAGAUCACGAUUUAAGUUACAUACAUGGCAAAAAUGAACACUCAUCGUCUUUGAUAUUUGAAGACUUUAUGUAUAUACGGAUUCUUGUUUCGAACAAUUUGCAUUUUCAUCCAGGAAUUACGGAGAGUCUACUUACAAAAUGUUCGAAGUCCAUCAUGUCGAUGUUCAAAGAUUUUCUUCACAGAAUUUCAGAGUUAAAGUCCACGUAUGAGAUUGUCAAUCGUCAUCGGUUGAGGCAAGGAAAGGCGCAAAUGCAAUAACACCGGUGAUGAUCUCACGUACUUAAGAUUAAAUUGUCUUAUGUGGAAUAGCUGCAAAAUUUCACGCGUAAUUUGCGCACUAUAUUUAAAUCGUGUCUUAAUGCGAUGUAAUAAUGCGAAUAACACGUUGCAAACUAUUAUCAUUUACAGGGUUAUGAAUAUUGAGUCAUUGAGUGUAUGAAGCAAACAUACAUCCUUUAUUAUUCGCUACAUCAUUGCGAUUUUGUCAUUGAACUUCCGAGAUCAAACCGAGGGCAUAGUUGAUUGAAUCAACUUGAAAUACGUUCGAGAGGAGUUUAAAGAGGCAGUCAAGUGAAUAGAAGUUGUUCGAGCAUUAUGAGGUAUUGUAGACUCGUACUUUCAACUGAUUUCAGUUUCUUUGUGUCGUAUAAUGAGCUGAUUGCGAGCCGUAAUAGAAGAAAAUACCGAGCUGUGAUACUUCCGAUGUAAAAUAACAAGAGAAAGGUGUUGCGAGACGAGAGAAUUCGCGCGAAUAAACUUAUCGAGCAAAGUAUACGCAUAAUUAUCAAAUUUUAAAAAAUUCGGCAACUUGGAAAUUUAGGAAUUUUUGAUAAUUUAGUAAUUUUGAGAUAGUCUCUGUGAGAUGUGAAUUUCUGACAAUUUGAACUGCACUAUUGGGACAAACAGCUACAUCCACGUAAUAUUGGAUCAUUAAAAAUAAUUAAACUAAUAGUUGUUUAAAAACAACAGCUUCCAGUAAUCCUAUUAUUUACUUUGACAUUAUGAAUAAAUGAAUAACUUUAAGAAGCGUAAAAAAAGACUUGUGCAUAAUAUAUAGCUGCAUGCCAUUUUGUAUAUUUGUGUAAUACUGUAUCAUGUAUAUGGUCAGUAAAUUCAGCGUGCAGCUUUAACAUUAGUCCAUUGAAACAAGAUAAUGACAAAUAAAUGUCAUAGGGUGCCGCUUUUUUAUAG